rnacentral:rRNA from 1 species
AUAUUGGACAAUGGGGGCAACCCUGAUCCAGCGAUGCCGCGUGAGUGAAGAAGGCCUUCGGGUCGUAAAGCUCUUUAGGUUGGGAAGAAGGUGUAUAGGGGACAAUCCUAGACAUUUGACGGUACCAGCAGAAUAAGCACCGGCAAACUCUGUGCCAGCAGCCGCGGUAAUACAGAGGGUGCGAGCGUUAAUCGGAGUUACUGGGCGUAAAGGGCGCGUAGGCGGAUGUAUGAGUGUGAUGUGAAAGCCCCGGGCUUAACCUGGGAAGGGCAUCGCAAACGAUAUAUCUGGAGUAGAUGAGAGGGUGGCGGAAUUUCCGGUGUAGCGGUGAAAUGCGUAGAGAUCGGAAGGAACGUCGAUGGCGAAGGCAGCCACCUGGCAUCAUACUGACGCUGAGGCGCGAAAGCGUGGGGAGCGAACAGG